GAAACGACUGCUAAGACUGGAUAGGAAAAGUAAGGGCAUCUUUACUUUUUUAAAAGACCUUCUUUGAAGGUAUGCUUAAGGAGGGGCUUGCGACACAUUAGUUAGUUGGCAGGGUAAAGGCCUACCAAGACUAUGAUGUGUAGCUGGACUGAGAGGUUGAACAGCCACAUUGGGACUGAGACACGGCCCAAACUCCUACGGGAGGCAGCAGUAGGGAAUUUUCGGCAAUGGAGGAAACUCUGACCGAGCAACGCCGCGUGAACGACGAAGUACCUCGGUAUGUAAAGUUCUUUUAUUAAGGAAGAAAAAAGAGUGGAAAAACUCCCUUGACGGUACUUAAUGAAUAAGCCCCGGCUAAUUAUGUGCCAGCAGCCGCGGUAAUACAUAAGGGGCGAGCGUUAUCCGGAAUUAUUGGGCGUAAAGGGUGCGUAGGCGGUUUAAUAAGUCUAUAGUUUAAUUUCAGCGCUUAACGCUGUUGUGCUAUAGAAACUGUUUUACUAGAGUGAGUUAGAGGCAAGCGGAAUUCCAUGUGUAGCGGUAAAAUGCGUAAAUAUAUGGAGGAACACCAGAGGCGUAGGCGGCUUGCUGGGGCUUUACUGACGCUGAGGCACGAAAGCGUGGGGAGCAAACAGGAUUAGAUACCCUGGUAGUCCACGCCGUAAACGAUGAGUACUAAGUGUCGGGUAAAACCGGUACUGAAGUUAACACAUUAAGUACUCCGCCUGAGUAGUACGUACGCAAGUAUGAAACUUAAAGGAAUUGACGGGACUCCGCACAAGCGGUGGAUCAUGUUGUUUAAUUCGAAGAUACACGAAAAACCUUACCAGGUCUUGACAUUUUCUUGCGAAGUUAUAGAAAUAUAAUGAAGGUUAUCAGGAAAACAGGUGGUGCAUGGUUGUCGUCAGCUCGUGUCGUGAGGUGUUAGGUUAAGUUCUAAAACGAGCGCGACCCUUGUCGUUAAUUGCCAGCAUGUAAUGAUGGGGACUUUAACGAGACUGCCAAUGAAAAAUUGGAGGAAGGUGGGGAUUACGUCAAAUCAUCAUGCCCCUUAUGAUCUGGGCUACAAACGUGAUACAAUGGUUGAUACAAAGGGUAGCUGAAACGCGAGUUCUUAGCCAAUCUCACAAAAUCAAUCUCAGUUCGGAUUGAAGUCUGCAACUCGACUUCAUGAAGUUGGAAUCGCUAGUAAUCGCGAAUCAGCAUGUCGCGGUGAAUACGUUCACGGGGUUUGUACACACCGCCCGUCA
rnacentral:rRNA from 1 species